UCUAGAAGAAUUUAUUUUGGCCUUGGAUUAGCAUCAUUUCCUCCUUUUGUGGUUCUAGGUGACCAGGCUGUGGGAAGCGACCACACAUCAAUCUCAUAGCCCCAGGCAAGGCAGUGAGCCAUCUGAUUCCAGGAGAGCGGAGCAGGUGUGGGAAAGCCACCAGCCUCCCCUGAAGACAGCUAAGAUAUCCUGGUCUAGAUCUUGAGUGUCUGAUGGGAGCUUGGUGUAGCUCAGAAUGGAGGAUGGCUUUAAGCAUCUUCCCCAUCCUUGGCAUAAACUAAAGCAGCAUCUGCUAACAGGGAAAAUGUUCUAGGUCAGCCAGUAUUUACAUGACAGACUGAACGGCACUAAGGGGGCUUAUUCUGGUCUAUUUGGUGGAGUACCUCCCAGCUCAUCAAGGUGCACCAGAUGGAAUAGUGAGAAAGAAGAGAGCAAAGACAACAGGAGGAAGAGGAAAAACAGAUGAAAGGUAUCCUGUCAGCCCAGGAGCACCGCUUGUCAGUCACAGACCGGAAGGAUUGCCUCCAGGGAAGCCAGUUCAGGUGAUGGGGGAACCCCUUCACAAGAACAUUCAAAAUGUGAACAGAAUAUAAACUGAUGACUGAGUCUGCAGACAGCUUGAAACAACAGCGGUGAAAGAAAUAUGAACUCCUACU
rnacentral:lncRNA from 1 species